rnacentral:rRNA from 1 species
AACGAACGCUGGCGGCAGGCCUAACACAUGCAAGUCGAGCGCCCCGCAAGGGGAGCGGCGGACGGGUGAGUAACGCGUGGGAACGUGCCCUUUGCUACGGAAUAGCCGCGGGAAACUGGGAGUAAUACCGUAUAAGCCCUACGGGGGAAAGAUUUAUCGGCAAAGGAUCGGCCCGCGUUGGAUUAGGUAGUUGGUGGGGUAAUGGCCUACCAAGCCGACGAUCCAUAGCUGGUUUGAGAGGAUGAUCAGCCACACUGGGACUGAGACACGGCCCAGACUCCUACGGGAGGCAGCAGUGGGGAAUCUUAGACAAUGGGCGCAAGCCUGAUCUAGCCAUGCCGCGUGAGCGAUGAAGGCCUUAGGGUUGUAAAGCUCUUUCGUGGGGGAAGAUAAUGACUGUACCCCAAGAAGAAGCCCCGGCUAACUCCGUGCCAGCCGCCGCAGUAAUAC